AUUGAACGCUGGCGGCAUGCUUUACACAUGCAAGUCGAACGGCAGCGGGGGCUUCGGCCCGCCGGCGAGUGGCGAACGGGUGAGUAAUGCAUCGGAACGUGCCCAGUCAUGGGGGAUAACUACGCGAAAGCGUAGCUAAUACCGCAUACGCCCUGGGGGGGAAAGUGGGGGAUCGCAAGACCUCACGUGAUUGGAGCGGGCGAUGUCAGAUUAGCUAGUUGGUGAGGUAAAGGCUCACCAAGGCGACGAUCUGUAGCGGGUCUGAGAGGAUGAUCCGCCACACUGGGACUGAGACACGGCCCAGACUCCUACGGGAGGCAGCAGUGGGGAAUUUUGGACAAUGGGCGAAAACCUGAUCCAGCCAUGCCGCGUGAGUGAAGAAGGCCUUCGGGUUGUAAAGCUCUUUCGGACGGAAAGAAAUCGCGCGGGCUAAUAUCCCGCGUGGAUGACGGUACCGUAAGAAGAAGCACCGGCUAACUACAUGCCAGCAGCCGCCGUAA
rnacentral:rRNA from 1 species